rnacentral:misc_RNA from 1 species
GUCUAUGUUGAUCAGAUAUUUUUCCAUGACCCAGAUGGCUUCAUGAUCGAAAUAUGCAACUGUGAUGUUCUUCCUGUCAUUCCACUGGCUGGAGAGGCAAUUCUAUCAUGCUCACUCUUGAACUGCAAUGUCCAACAGGAGCAGAAAAAGCAGAUUCAAAAGGCUGUGCCGAUGAACCCCUCUCCGCCUAAUAUUCACAUGCAGGAAGAUUAUCUUCCUUGUGCGUGAUAUCUCUACGAUUGCAUAGUGAAUGUCGCGGUCCAGCUCCGCCCCAGUUAUUAGGCAGUAGUCUCUCUAUAUAUAUGGACUUCGACCAUAUAUGAUGAUGAAGAUAAUUAAUAAGUACUUAAUUAGUAAGUGCUUAAUUUGUUAAGAUGAAUUGCAGAUGUUGAUUGGC